rnacentral:miRNA from 1 species
UUCCCGAUGCCUCCUAUUCCUA